GACCUCGUGGCGGACUGGUUACGCGCAGGAUCGCAAAUCCUGAUAUUAUCCUCGGUUCGAAUCCGGGGCGAGGUCUCCA
rnacentral:tRNA from 1 species